AAACUACAGCAAACAACAAAUAGAAUCGAUUGCAGUCUCCCAUUGGCUGUUAACAAGUUUGUGAGCAAGGGGGCAGCUGGAGACAGGCGCCCAAUAGAGAUGUACAGAAAAUACUCCAGGGAGACCCUAGGAAGCCACUGGCCAGAAAAGGUGUCUCCAAUGUGAAGCAUUUUUGCAAUUACUCCUCAUAACCCUUCUGCAUGGAAUACUAAUCCAGAGAUUUUACACUCUGAAGUUUCGGAAAAACAAAUUACCUUGGCCAAAAGCCUUUUUCUGGUCUCUGAUGCUGAGUACGUGAAAUCUCUAAGCCUCACAAAGAGUCAAACAUCUGAAUUUAUCUGCCCUGCUCGGUGGGAGCCUGCACAGGAAUCCACGCGGAUACAAUUGUGCUGUUGCUGAUUAACAGAACACCCGAGAGGCACGGCACUGAUAAACACCAGCUGGAUGGCAGGCUGGCAAACCACAUCACGGGGUGCAGGCCUCAUGAACCCUUCUGGCUUGGACCUUGUUGUCACAGCUUAGCCUCUUGCCAGCCUCAUUUCCACCCCUGUUCUCCCCUAUGACAGCCUGGCAAUUUACAAAAGCAG